rnacentral:rRNA from 1 species
GACGAACGCUGGCGGCGUGCUUAACACAUGCAAGUCGAACGGGUCUGCCCUGUUUUUUGCGGGGUGGGUCAGUGGCGAACGGGUGAGUAACACGUGAGUAACCUGCCCCUCACUUCUGGAUAACCGCUUGAAAGGGUGGCUAAUACGGGGUGUUCUGGCUGUGCCGCAUGGUGUGGCUGGGAAAGAUUCACUUUUGUGGUGUUUUGGUGGGGGAUGGGCUCGCGGCCUAUCAGCUUGUUGGUGGGGUGAUGGCCUGCCAAGGCUUUGACGGGUAGCCGGCCUGAGAGGGUGGGCGGUCACACUGGGACUGAGAUACGGCCCAGACUCCUGCGGGAGGCAGCAGUGGGGGGUAUUGCACAAUGGGCGGAAGCCUGAUGCAGCGACGUCGCGUGAGGGAUGGAGGCCUUCGGGUUGUGAACCUCUUUCGCCAGUGAAGAAGGUCCUGCUCUUUGUGGUGGGGUUGACGGUAGCCGGGUUAUGAAGCGCCGGCUAACUACGUG